CUCUGUUGUCCCUGCAGGGCUCUGCUCUUGGGAACCUGAGCCUACUCUGGGUUAAGUUUCUUCUUCUUUCCAUCCCUGCCAUACUUCACAGCUGAUCACUGUCCAGAGAUGACUGUCCUUUUCCUUGUGAUUUCUUGCUUAUGCACCUCUUGAGGCUGUAAAUGUGAUAUAUUGGAGUUGAUCUGGAAUAUAAUCUGCUAUUCAGAAGUGUGCUUAUCCAGUCCAGAGUGAUGAAGUUGAGAGAGUGGUGGGAUGUGGAUUACAGCUGCGUAAGAACAAAUCAGGAAUCGUGUCCAAGAUUAUUCCUAGCAACUGCCCCUCUCUGAUCACCAGCCAUGAAGAUCCAAUCUGGAUUUAAAGAAGACAAGAAUGACAACUUCAGAUUGUGAGAUGAGAAGCAGACAAAAAGAAGGAAGAAAGCACAAGAAUGAUUGGACUUUCAGCGUAUCACCUUCCAAAUGAUCUCUGCACAAAGGGACUUUAUUCAAUUCAUUGUUCUCUGAAAAUCAGAUUGUAUUGUAUUUGCAGAACAAUAGGUAAGCUCUUCUGUAUUUAAUACGUGUAGAUGCUUAUAGGUACAUAUAGGGAAAAAGAUAUUCUUAUAUACUGUGUUGCUCUUUAAAGAUUAAAGUGUUGUUUUUGUUUUUGUUUUUUUCUUCAGUGUAUACUGCAUUGAGCUUACAUUUUUAUUGAUACUCCUCU